UACGUAGGGUGCGAGCGUUGUCCGGAAUUAUUGGGCGUAAAGAGCUUGUAGGCGGUUUGUCGCGUCUGCUGUGAAAACUGGGGGCUCAACCCCCAGCCUGCAGUGGGUACGGGCAGACUAGAGUGCGGUAGGGGAGAUUGGAAUUCCUGGUGUAGCGGUGGAAUGCGCAGAUAUCAGGAGGAACACCGAUGGCGAAGGCAGAUCUCUGGGCCGUAACUGACGCUGAGGAGCGAAAGCAUGGGGAGCGAACAGG
rnacentral:rRNA from 1 species